rnacentral:rRNA from 3 species
UUUUGACCGGUCUGAAACACGGACCAAGGAGUCUAGCAUGUGUGCGAGUUAUUGGGUAAUACAUUCAAUAUUUAUAUUGUGUGUAUAUAUGAGAAAACCUAAGAGCGAAAUUAACGUAACUGUUAAUGGGAUUACAUUUGUAAGUCUUCACGGAUUUACGAAUUUCCAUCCCGGGGCGAUUUAUCUAUUAAAACUAGCAAUAGUUUUAUAAAAUCGUACCUUGAGCAUACAUGGUAGGACCCGAAAGAUGGUGAACUAUGCCUGAUCAGGUUGAAGUCAGGGGAAACCCUGAUGGAGGACCGAAGCAGUUCUGACGUGCAAAUCGAUUGUCAGAAUUGGGUAUAGGGGCGAAAGACCAAUCGAACCAUCUAGUAAUCCAGACUUAAUAAAUCACCUGGCCUCUCUUUCCUCCAGCCAAUUCAGGAACAGG